AUACGGAGGAUCCGAGCGUUAUCCGGAUUUAUUGGGUUUAAAGGGUGCGCAGGCGGCCAUUUAAGUCAGCGGUUAAAUCGUGGGGCUCAACCCCAUUCUGCCGUUGAUACUGGGUGGCUUGAUUGCGGUCGAGGUUGGCGGAAUUCGUUGUGUAGCGGUGAAAUGCAUAGAUAUGACGAAGAACACCGAUUGCGUAGGCAGCUGACCAGACCGCAAAUGACGCUCAUGCACGAAAGUGCGGGGAUCGAACAGGAUUAGAUACCCUGGUAGUCCGCACAGUAAACGAUGAACACUUGUUUUCGGCGAUAUAAUGUCGGAGGCAAAGCGAAAGCGAUAAGUAUUCCACCUGGGGAGUACGCCGGCAACGGUGAAACUUAAAGGAAUUGACGGGG
rnacentral:rRNA from 1 species